rnacentral:tRNA from 1 species
GGUAAAAUGGCUGAGAAUUAAGCAAUAAAUUGUAAAUUUAUUAACGAAUUAAAAAAUUCUUUUACCA